CUGAACAGGUAAAAGCUACCAACCGUUACCCAUCAAGAAAAACUUACUACAUCAAUUAUAUGAUAUGCGACCAUUAUAUUUUCUUCUUGCGGGUUAUAGGAAACUACACGUUGUAAGCAAUAACUAGACUUAACAUUCCCCAAGCUACAAAGAUGACUGCUUUGCACGAGAUGUUGUCGGAUUUUGAUGUGCUGGAAAAUGCAGUAAGACUGAAGGAGGAACAUGUCUGGUCGGAAGCUUGUUCAGGAGGGAGGAGGUCAUAUAGGAAAAGGCCCUGCCUGCUGAUGGUCCAAAUGUGAGGAGUAACAAGGGAUAUUUGUUUAUCAAAGAAUAAAUAUAAACUCCACAAAACAAGUAUUUGAAAUCAAAGUGAGAACAUAUGAGAGACUGUCCUGGGCCAUUCAAAGUCAUGGUGUAAUGCCAAGAGCCAGCUGGAGUAAAAUGGAGUUUUAAUGUUGAGGUUGUCUUUUUUUUUUUUUACUCGUGGCCUUUAUGCGAUUGAGAAAGCAUGAGGCAGUGAAUCCCUUUCCACUCUGGCCAUCUGAUAACUCCCUGCAACUCAAGUCAGCAGCAAUCCAAUAACAAUCCCUGCCCAAAUCAAAUAUUUAGAGUGUCCCAAGGACCUCUCUGGAAGAGGGACAAAGCAAAGGCGGUUUCACCAUGAUCAGAAGUUAUUCUACUCAUUAACAACGAUCACUGCAACCUGAUUCAAAGUAAAAUAACUCUUUAUCAUAUCAGUUGUUGUUGUUUUUUUUAUCAGAUUGUGCUCUUCAAAUAUAUGUGAAAACGUGUUUCAUUUUAUUCUACUUUGAUUUUAUUUCUCCCUUCAUUGUGGCUUAAAAAUGGUUUUAAUGCAUUUGCAGUAUGUGCCUUCUGUAAAGCACUUUGAAUUGCUUCUGUGGUUGAAAGCUAUACAAAUAAACUUGACAUGCCAAUAUGACUUGAGAAUGUAACAUAAGUGAAUGUAUUAGCCUUGCAUUGAGAGGCUACGCUGCUUUUUUAAAAAUUAUGACUUAGCAAUCAUAGGGUAUCUUAGCACAAUUACACAUUA